rnacentral:rRNA from 1 species
GAGCAUGUGGUUCAAUUCGACGCAACGCGAAGAACCUUACCUGGGCUCGAAAUGUAGUGGAAUGAGGUGGAAACAUCUCCGUCUCGCAAGAGACUGCUAUAUAGGUGCUGCAUGGCUGUCGUCAGCUCGUGUCGUGAGAUGUUGGGUUAAGUCCCGCAACGAGCGCAACCCUUAUUGCCAGUUGCCAUCAUUUAGUUGGGCACUCUGGCGAAACUGCCCCGGAUAACGGGGAGGAAGGUGGGGAUGACGUCAAGUCCUCAUGGCCUUUAUGUCCAGGGCUACACACGUGCUACAAUGGGUGGUGCAAACCGUCGCAAACCCGCGAGGGGGAGCUAAUCGGAAAAAGCCAUCCUCAAUUCGGAUUGGAGUCUGCAACUCGACUCCAUGAAGCUGGAAUCGCUAGUAAUCGCGGAUCAGCACGCCGCGGUGAAUACGUUCCCGGGCCUUGUACACACCGCCCGUCACAUCACGAAAGUGGGU